UCCUUUCUGGCGAGCCGUCAUGCCCUUUACUGGGUGUGGCGGGGAGCCAGGACUUUUACUUUGAAAAAAUUAGAGUGUUUAAAGCAGGCCUACGCUUGAAUACAUUAGCAUGGAAUAAUAGAAUAGGACCUCGGUUCUAUUUUGUUGGUUUCUAGGACCGAAGUAAUGAUUAAUAGGGAUAGUUGGGGGCAUUAGUAUUUAGUAGCUAGAGGUGAAAUUCUUGGAUUUACGAAAGACUAACUUCUGCGAAAGCAUUUGCCAAGGAUGUUUUCAUUAAUCAAGAACGAAAGUUAGGGGAUCGAAGACGAUCAGAUACCGUCGUAGUCUUAACCAUAAACUAUGCCGACUAGGGAUCAGACGAUGUUAAUUUACUGACUCGUUUGGCACCUUAUGAGAAAUCAAAGUUUUUGGGUUCCGGGGGGAGUAUGGUCGCAAGGCUGAAACUUCAAGGAAUUGACGGAAGGGCACCACCAGGAGUGGAGCCUGCGGCUUAAUUUGACUCAACACGGGGAAACUCACCAGGUCCAGACAUAGGAAGGAUUGACAGAUUGAGAGCUCUUUCUUGAUUCUAUGGGUGGUGGUGCAUGGCCGUUCUUAGUUGGUGGAGUGAUUUGUCUGCUUAACUGCGUUAACGAACGAGACCUUAACCUGCUAAAUAGUUAUGCCAACAUUCGUUGGUAGCCAACUUCUUAGAGGGACUGUCGGCGAUUAGCCGACGGAAGUUUUAGGCAAUAACAGGUCUGUUAUGCCCUUAGAUGUCCUGGGCCGCAGCCCGCUACACUGAUGA
rnacentral:rRNA from 1 species